AGCAGCCGCGGUAAUUCCAGCUCCAAUAGCGUAUAUUAAAGUUGUUGUGGUUAAAAAGCUCGUAGUUGAACCUUGGGCCUGGCUGGCCGGUCCGCCUCACCGCGUGUACUGGUCCGGCCGGGCCUUUCCCUCUGUGGAACCCCAUGCCCUUCACUGGGUGUGGCGGGGAAACAGGACUUUUACUUUGAAAAAAUUAGAGUGCUCCAGGCAGGCCUAUGCUCGAAUACAUUAGCAUGGAAUAAUAGAAUAGGACGUGUGGUUCUAUUUUGUUGGUUUCUAGGACCGCCGUAAUGAUUAAUAGGGACAGUCGGGGGCAUCAGUAUUCAAUUGCCAGAGGUGAAAUUCUUGGAUUUAUUGAAGACUAACUACUGCGAAAGCAUUUGCCAAGGAUGUUUUCAUUAAUCAGGAACGAAAGUUAGGGGAUCGAAGACGAUCAGAUACCGUCGUAGUCUUAACCAUAAACUAUGCCGACUAGGGAUCGGACGAUGUUAUUUUUUGACUCGUUCGGCACCUUACGGAA
rnacentral:rRNA from 1 species